rnacentral:lncRNA from 1 species
UAAAUUUGACUCAAAUCACACUUGUCAAUACGAGAACCGCUUGUUUUGAACAACGAACACAAUCCACUCCGCAAAAACUUACUACAUAGUAGUUCAAACACCAAGACCUGUGAAAAAAAAAAGAGUUAAACAAACAACAAAUUUUGCUUCAAAUUUAAAUGUGCACACACGCACUAUCACCUACUGGUAUACAUAGAUACUCCCCACAUAACUCAUACAUGACUACAUGACUACAUAGUUUAUAUAUAACUAUAUAUUACUACAUGUGACUACACCAUAUAUUACUGUAUGUUACUACACGUGACUAUAUAUUACUAUAUGUAACUACACCAUAUAUUACUGUAUGUUACUACACAUGACUAUAUAUGACUACAUGUAUAUGACCAUAUGUGACUAUAUACAUGUCUGUGACUUUAUUUGUCCCUUCAAGUACCUGACUUUGUUCUCCAGGCGAUACGACACGACUUAUAUUAUCAAAAUCAAAUUACAACAGAGUAUGCUAGUCAUUAUUCUUCGUAUAAUCAAAGGUCAAAGAUCAAAGCAAGUUGAAGUGGAACACCAUAGAUAAAAUAAUAGUUGAAACACACGUAAAGUAGUCACCUAUUUCAUUCUCGAUAAAUAAAAUAUCAAUAUCAUAUUACCAACAAAAUAUUCUCAUCACGAAUCUACAUAUACUCCCAAGUAUAAAAAAAAGUAAACAAAUCAUUUGAGGACCAAUAAACAGGGAUUCAAUAUAUUAAGAAGCACAUUAAAAUUCAUUACCUUUUCUAUGCCUUCAAUGGAUGAACAGUCAGUUUUGUCGCACCACCACCAGGAACAAGUUUCGAGUUUUUUUUAUUAUAUUUCUUGCCACAACAAUCGUGUUUUAUGUACAAGUCGACUCCUAAAAUUAAACUCACAGCUUCACAAAAAAAAAAGAGAGAAAAAAAAUUAAAACCAAAACUCAAAAAAUAACUGCAAAAUUCGAUGAUGGUUGUACAAAAAAUACUUUGGUGAACUCAAAAAAUACCUGCAAAAUUCGAAUUACAUUACAUGAAAAAUACAAAAAAACAAUGAAAAACACUUUAUUGAUAAAUUUACUUUGGUGAACUAUAGUCACAUGUAGUUAUGUCUUCUUGUUACUACAUAUGACUAUAUAUGACUAUAUGUAGUCAACUAUAGUCACAUGUAGUUGUGUUCAUUCUUGUUACUACAUGUGACUAUAUAUGACUACGUGUACAUGACCACAUGUGACUAUAUAUAUGUAUAUAUAUAAAAUUCCUCUACACCAGCAAAAAAGUUCACAAGUGAAUCUAUAUCAUAUGUUCGCCUUCAGAUUAGAACUGUAUGAUCAUAUAAUCAUGCAUCUGUUAGAGAGGAAACAUGAUUGCCUACUUAAUGUAUCCUAAAUUCCUAAUAGACAGAAACCCCACAAGAAACGAAAAAUAAUUUAAUUCCAGUUAAUAUACAUCAAGAUUAAUACGGUGUGAGAGAUAGGUAUAGUGAGAUGGCAGUUAACCAAUGACCAUUGUGCAAAAGACUUACACAGUUCAAAAUGUCUACCAACUUUCUAAUGUGUGUGAGGAUUGACAACUAAGAUAAGACCAUCAAACAGAUUCUAGAAUUAGAUAAAUGUAUGAUCAGUAAACAUACACUGGAGGGGUUUUUAAGUCUCUGUGCUUCAUCAAUUAUCGCAUAAUGCCAAUGGAAAUUUCCCAUUAACUGCUAUUACCUACAAAAGGAAGUGAAUUGUAUAAUUAUAAUUUGAUGCAAAUAUUAAAUAAAUAAAUAAAAAUGAAUUAUCAAAUAACAAGGAACAUAGAAAAAUACUAGUUUGGAAUAACACCAGAUAUAAGAACUGUAUAAUUAAUGUAAAUCGUAAUCGAAAUCGAAACCGAAAAGGAAUAGAAUAAAAUCUACAUAUAAUUUACAGCUAUAGUUUAUCCAUAAUCAAAAAUAAAUUUACAAAUUUGAGAAGUUAUAAAUCCGCACAAAUCAAAAACAGAAUCAAGUUCGAUAAAUCUAACUUCACCAAUAACCAAAACAAAAACAAAAACAAAAAACACACACACAAACACACAGUGAACUGAUGAAAAUUGAAAAAUUGAAAAAAUGAAGGAAUAAUUCACCUGUUGAGGAACACCAGGUGGAGAAGCAGUGGUGUAAGAGAUAUCCAAUUCAAAGUUGGUGAAGGGAUCCGCGUCAAAACACACACCGGCGAUGGGCAUCAGUGGCGAGCGGCGCAGGCGGUGGGGGAGCAGAUCUGGCUGCGGAGGGUUUGUCGAUAGAGAGAGUUAGAGAGAGAUGAAGAGAGAAGGGGGCCGAAGUUGUAACGGGUGGGUUGAUACGUGGAAGGCUGGGCCUAGGGUUUUAUGUAUUGCGUGCCUCUUGGGAGGAGGGAGGGCCGAAGCCUCUUCGAUGCGCACGUGUUUCUCAGCGCUACUUAGUAACUCUUCCAGAGUGGUUGGAGGUCUUCCUGCAAUAGAUUCCUUGAAUCUACCUUCCUUCAAGUUUUGUUGAAUGAUUCUAGUGAGCAUGCUUCCUCCCACGUUAGGAACUUUGUGAGAUGCUUCUACAAAUCGUUGAAUGUAGUUGCGGAGGGUCUCGCCCUCUCUCUGGGUGAUAGUGAAGAGGUACGCGGGAGUCUUUGCGUACUCUUUGUUGAUAGCGAAAUGGUGGGUGAAGCGAUCUGUUAGUUGGGAGAGAGCUUCAAUUGACCCAGUGGGCAAGGAGUUGAACCAGCUCAAUGCUCGUUCGGAGAGCGUUGUGCGAAACAUCUUGCAUAUUGCAGCAUCAGUUGGACCAUAAAGAUCUGCCAUGGCGUAGAAUUUUUCAAGGUGCUCAUGUGGGUCACCAGUUCCAUCGAACUGUGGUAGACUCGAGACCUUUACCCGUUGGGGUAGUAUCUCAUUGACUAUUGCGACAGUGAAGGGAUUGUGCCUUAUUGGAGGUAUUGCCCUUCCACCAAUGGGAUUACCUAUGUGGUGAAGGUGAUUUGAGCGAGAUACCUGACUGUUAAUUUCAUCCUCUCCACCAUUGUGUGGAGGAGCUCGUUGGUGAGAGGUGUUGCCUCUUGAAGGUGAACGUGGGUCUUGUCGCCCAGUUCGUGCAUCUUGGCGAUGAGUAGAUUGUUGCAUUCGGGACCGUAGGUCCGAGGUAGAGGAGGAGACACUUAUUUGGUUCUGGACUGGCGGUGGUGCCAUAGGUUGCACCACAGGUGGAGCUGGCGCUGGUACCGCAUUGGGAGCGUUUGCUCCCAUCGUGGCGAUAUAUUGAGCCACUGCCUCGGUGGCGGCGCGAGUUGAGGCUUCUACUAUCAUGCGUUGGAGCGCAUCCUCGGUUAUUUGAACCGUUCGAGGAGUAGGGAGUGGCGGAUUGGCGAGUGGUGGGUCCCGAUGGGGGAUCACCUGAACCUCGCGAGGCGGUUCCUCGGCACGUGGAGGAGGUGGCAAGCCAGAGCCUCCACAGACCGGGAGGUUGUUAGCUGUGUCAUUUUCUCUCCGAGCAGACGCCUCAGGAGGAUCUUGUUGGCUACGUGAUCUGGUUUGCAUCGUUCCCACAGACGGCGCCAAAAUGAUGAUGCUAAUUACUUAGAUCACCUGGGGUAGUGUAGAAAAUGAAUUGGGAGAGCAAAGCAGAUCAGUAGCUUGACAACUUGAUGAUCCUGAUGUACCUGCGAAAUGAACACACGUGAACUACGCCGGGGGUUGAUCCGGCGGAAACCCCUCCGACGCUCAAGUCAGACGUGCUGAUAGUAGAAAUAGUCCAGAGAAUACGUAUAUUAGUAUUGCUCAGUUAAUAGGACGUACCUUAAGGAAUGAGUUCAAACCUUUAUUUCAUAGCUUAGUUGAGAUUGUCGGGCCCAAACCUUACUUGAAGGUGAUUGGGCCUCGGUGAUAAUGGUCUUCGAUAUUGGGCUCGUGGCCCAGUAUGUAAGGAAAUUGUAGGCCCAUUGGGUUGGCCCAAUUAGGCAUAUCAUUAUAUAUAUGCACACACGUAUAGAAUGAUUAUGUAUGUGCAUGCACGUAAUUAUGUAUGCAUGUAGUAUAUUUAUACAUGUAUGUAUGUAUAUUAUUAUUAAUUAGUAAUUCAACUUACGGAAAUAGAAAUGAUCCUAAAAUACUAAUUUACGUAAAUUAAUUACAUAGACGUAAUUCACAUAAUUAAUUUCACGUAAUAAUAUCACCUAGGGAUUCUCGAGUUAAGAAGAUUGAUUUCGGGUUCUGGUUUUGGAAAGGUGGGGUGUUACAUCGUAGAGAGAAUAUAAGCACUAGAAUUGUUGUGUAAAUUGGAACGUACCUUAACAAAUUAGUAAAAACAUUUAUUUAUAUGUCUUUGAUUGGGUUGUAUUUACUUUGUUGGUCCCAAGCCCCUUUGAAGAUGUUUGGGACUUUCAUUGUAGUGGUCUUUUAAAUUGGGCUCGUGACCCAGUGGAUAAAUAAAUCGUGGGCCCAUUGGAUCGGUCCGAUUAUGCAUAUCAUCCAUGACCAACCAUUUUAUUAUUCUAGGUUCAGGGGUUACACCUUUUUCGCCAACAAACCCAUCCCUUUUAAUAUUUUAUAUAUAAAAGAAAGAAACGCUACGGUAACACAGUCAUAAUUCACGACAUCUAUAUUUAUACAAAUAAAUUAAUUUAUGUGUAAAUGAAAACGUAAUGUAUAUAACAAAAAGUUACCUCCAAUCAUUUACACUCAAUUCUUAAUUGUAACCCCAAUUUAAUCAAUUUUGACCAAGAAAUCGUAGAGCGGUGCCGCCAUGCUUCUACCACCGGUGGCGGGUCUUCGCAGAAAUUGAAUAAUCAACGAUUCAAUUUCACGCCAUUUGGUUUAUCUUCAAUUUUAAUUUUUAAUCGCUUGUUCGUCUUCUACCAUAUUUAUUCGCAAUUAUUAUUUUUUUUCUUUUUGUGUAAUUUUCUCAAUUUUAUAGUUGAUUUAGAUAAUUUGUAGUUGAUUUGAUGAAUCUUAUGUCCUCAAUUUUGUAGUUGUUUACGAUAAUUUUAUAGUUGAUUAUGGAAAAUAAAAAUGGAAUAAAAAAUUGGAAAAAAAAAUUUGUUGAUUUCAUAAAUUUUGUAGUUGAUUUUGAAAGAGAAAGGCGGAAACAAAUUGAAAAAAAAUACAUUUAAGACAAAUAUUUAAAACUAUUCAAAAAAAAUAAUUCUUAUUUUAUAAUUGAAUAAAUAAUAAAACGAAAAAAAAAAAGAAAAAGAAAAAGCAUCAAACACCUACAUAACAUUUUAUCAUAAUCCUUAUUUUUUAAUUGAAUAUUUACUGAUAUAUCUAAUACAUUUUAUCAUAAGCCCACACUUGUACAUAACAUGAAAAUAUUAAUUGUAGCCUUCUAAACACAUAGUAGAAUAUGUUUAUUAGAGUUUUUUUAUUAAUGUUGUAGAAUAUUUUUGGAAAUUGCAUUGCAAAAUCUAAUUAUUUAUUUUAUAUUUGUUACACUCAACCGAAAUUAAUAUAUGUAUUUUCAAUUUUAGUAUUAUUUUAUUAGAAGACAUCUAAAUAACCUCAACUAUUCCACUAUUUCAAAACUGGGUUAAGAAAUGUAUAAUUUUUUGAAUAUUUGAUAAGACUUUAGAAUAUAUUAUAACAUUAUCGUCAUCAUUUUUAAUGACAUAAAUUUAACGCUCCGAUUCUCUCAUUCUAAUAAAACUUGAGAACAAUAUUAUUUUUGCGGGUUACACACUUAAACUUCUAUUUAUGCAUGACAAGUGAAACUCCAUACUUGUGUGAAUUUUCAAUUUUAUUAAACUACAUUUUUACUAUUUACUAUUCUCUCUCUCUCUCUCUCUCUCUCUCUCUCUCUCUCUCUCUCUCUUUUCACUAUGUCGAAGCAUUUAGGAAUUCGAUCUUUGACAAAAGCGUUUAGAUCAGUUGGUAAAUUAUUUUAUAAUAUAAUGACCUCUUUUUGGUAUUAUUUUUUUCUAAAAAAAAAAAGUUAAAAGCUAAUGAAUUAAUUAAUUAAUGAUAUCUUUAUUUUUAGUUUUAUUUUUUUCGGGUUUCGAGCUUUGCCAAAUAUCCUCUUUUUUUUGUAUUAAUUGUUUUCAAAAAAAAGUAAAAGAAAUUAAUAUAAAUAAGUUCUUUAUUUUUAUUUUAUUUUACAACUUUUUCAGAUUUCGAGUUUUGCCAAAAACCCCUUUUUGGUAUUAAUUAUUUUUCCAAAAAAGAAAAAGUAAAAAAUAAAUAUAAAUAAGUUAUUUAUUUUUAUUUUAUUUAAUUCUUUUUUGGGUUACGAGCUUUGCCCAAAACGUCAUUUCUGGUAUUAAUGCUUUUCCAAAAAAAAAAAGUAAAAACAAUAUUAUAUAUAUAAAUUCUUUAUUUUUAUUUGCUUUAUAGGUAGCAGCAGCGGGAGCCUUUCUAGGAGCCGCACCCUUUCGGCUUCCUCGGCUCCGAUUCCGACCGGGUCCGACCCAAAGCCGGCGGAUGAGGAGACGACACAGGAGGAGGAGGAGCAGAUGACAGAGGAGGAGGAGGAGUAUGAGGAUGAUGAUGAGUCUGAGUAUGAGGAUGAUGAUGAGUCUGAGUAUGAGGAUGAUGAUGAGUAUGAGAAGAAGAAGAAGGAGGAGGAGGAGAAGAAGAAGAAGGAGGAGGAGGAGGAGAAGGAGAAGAAGAAGAAGAAGAAGAAGGUGAUCAAGAUGUAGACUUUUAUUUUAAUUUUUGAAACUAUUGCGUUAAUUAGUUUAUUAGCUGUAGUUUAUUGUUUAGUUAUUUGUAGACUCUUAUUUUAAUUUGAAACUCCUGUCUUACUUUUAUUUUAAUAGUUGUUGUUUAUUGUUUGUUAUUUUAAGUUCUGAAACUUUUUAUCUAUUAGUAUAGCGGAAGCAAAUGAUCUCUUUGUAAUUUUUAAAACUUUGGAAUGGGACCGAAAUGCAAUUAUUAAAAAUCUCUUCUUUAGAACAAUUAAAACCUUUUGUGAUUUUCGAAAACUAGCCCAGGAGUGUUUAAGUAGACUAAAUGUUUCGUUUGAAAACAAGUUUCGAGAGGAGGAUUUUUGUUCUAGUGCUACACUAUGAAACUACCUAUCUUAUCUUUUUGGUUCGAAAGGAAAUCAAAGUUUUGAAAGGUAUUUUGGUGAGUAUUUCGAAAUCUACUAGUUGAGACGUGAAAAUAGCAAAAUUACUAAACUUACUAUUUGAUAAUAAAAGUUAAGUACGAUCCAUACCGGAUUUAAGUUCAAAAGAUACGAAAAAGGAAAUACGUAGGUUUAAUAUUACAUCACCAAAAUAAACCAAAAUGUUUAGCAUCGUUCAUAGGCCCUCGUACAACUUCCAAAAUCCCGGGCAAGACCUCGAUCCGCUAUUCGAUCCAUUCCGGUGGAGGGUUACUAAUACUACUACCUGCAAUUAAAAGGCAUCUAUAUGAGCUAUAAAGCUCAGUAAGAAAUCCGAUUAAAUAUCGAACUUUAAAAUACGUUUAUAUAUAUAUAUAUAUAUACCGUACUCACAUUCCAAACAACACAAGCCAAAUGGUUAAUCACAUAGUUCACGAAAACACAUUAUUCACACGUAAACACGUACUUGCAAAAUGACUAAAAUGCCCUUUUCGUGAAAAACGUGAAAACACAUUUUUCGUUUUAUCGGAUAUGUGAAAGAUUAAUUUAUGUGCCUGAAUAAUAAACCUGUUACGAGCCCGUUUUCACUAAGUGGAAUCAAUCCACAACAUUUCAUUCUAGUUGGAUACCGACCUUCUAUAUCCCAGCUGUUUACUAUCUGGUAUUCCAUUAAUCUUUCAAAUUUAAAAACCGUGAAAUGCAUCUUUUUUAAAAUCAUGCUCACCAUAAUUAUAUAACACGCACAUAAACAUUACAAAUAUCAAUCAAGUGCCACAAAACCACACAAAUAUUUAUAAUUUGGGCAAAAUCCCCAAAUUCACACACAUAAACACACACAACCACACACGGCGCACACACACACAUACACAUUCAGCAUACACACACACAAGUAUUCAACACACACACCCAUUCAAUAUUCAAACCAUGCUUGUAAAGCAAGCACCCAUUUUCAUCCUUCAUUUAAUGAACUUAUUACAACUUCAAGGAAAUAAUUUCAUUCCAGAAGUAAUUAAACACACCCAUGCAGCAAAUUAAGGUACACAAUCCCAAAUUUCAUCACUCAUGAUUAUUAAUUCAAAGACAUGAAAAUUAAAGCACAAAACAUAAUAAAUGACAUGCAUAAUGUUCUAGUUUCGAAAUAAUAGCAAACCAAUUCCAAAAACUCCCAAAUUAAAUCCUAUAGCUCCUAACUGAUCUAAGUUUUAGUUCUGAAAUUAUUUUAUGUUUCAAAUUUUCUUGGAAUUAAAAACUAGAAAAAUCCCUUUUUCUUUUAAAAAUCCAAAACUCUAAUAUAACCUUAAUUACUUUGAUACAUUUGAAAAGAAAACUUUUUCCCCAUUUAAUACUUGCUGGAAAACAGAUUCCAAAAUUUAGAAAAUGACAGAUUUUUCAGAAAUUACAGUUUUGACCCCAAAUUUCAAGAUUUACACAUGCAAGCAACCACACUAAAAGUUCAACAUCCACUUUUUCAUGAAAAACCCCUAACAAGCUGAGAUGUUAAUUCAAUAAAUGCAGAAGACAAAGUUAAAAAGUUACUAUAGGCAGAAAUUUCGAAAAUUACAUAUUUUACCCCAAAAUCUCUAGAUCUACACAUGCAAGACCACUAGAAGUUCAAAAAUCAAUCUUUAUAGCACAACCUCUUUAAAUCCGAACUUUUUGUUCAAUAAAUGCUGAAAAAAAUAUUUGAAAACACAUUUAGGACUGACUUCUUAAAAAUUACGGAUUUGACCCAAAAAUCUUUAGAUCUACACAUGCAACGCCAUAAAAGUUCAAAAAUUCAUUUUUCUUGCAACCCCUUGAAAUCCGAAAUUUACAAUGCUUUCGGCCAAUAAAACUUGUAUCUACCCACUACCAACACAAAUGAUGCAUGCAAGAACAAGAAAUCAACACUCAACAUUUCUUUUCCAUUUUUCCCCGAAAAGCCCUAAUUUUCUCGAAAUCUCUCCAAAUCUUAUAAGAAAUUUUGAAAACCAUUUUGAUACUAUUGACACCCUUUAAUUGCAGCAAGAAAUCAAAAUUUCUUACCUUAUCACCGAAGAAAGGAAAAACAACCGAAGGGGAGAGCUUUCAAAUACCGAAGUCUAGCCAAGCAACUUUGAUUGUGAAGGAGAUGGUGUGAGCUUCUAAGAGGGAUGUGUUAUUAUCUCCCGUGAGUAGGCAAGAAGUCUUUAUCAUUAUAUCUAUGUUUGUGACAAAGGGACAAAGAUAUAGAAUGUCAAGGUGUUUUUAUCAUUAAUACGAAAAAUGUUUAUUUAUUACAAGAAUAAAUGGAAAGACCACAACCACAUGUUGGCUUGUUGGUCACCUACUCUAACACUAAGCCGGGGUUGAUCCGGCGGAAACCCCUCCGACGCUCAAGUCAGAUGUACGGAUCGUGGAGAUCGUAUGUAGCACCCAUCUUCUUAUCGGGCGAUAAGUCGAACCGGUUUAUCGGAAUACUCGUUUAUAUAGCGGAAGCAAAAUGAUCUCUUUUUAAUUUUUAAAACUUUGGAAUGAGACUAAAAUAAAAUUAUUAAAAAUCUCUUCCUUAGGAUAUUCAAAACCUUUGUGAUUUUCAAAAACUUUCUUAGGAGCAUUUUAGUCGACUAAAUGUUUCAUUUGAUAACAAGUUUCGAGAGGAGGAUUUUCGUUCGAGUGCUACACUAUCAAACUAUCUAUUUUACUUUUGGUUCGAAAAGAAAUCAAAGUUUUGAAAGGUAUUUUUGUGAAUAUCUCGAAAACUACUAGUAAGACAUGAAAUAACAAAUUUACUAAACGGACUAUUUUAUAAUAAAAGUCAAGUACAAUCCAUACCGGAUUUGAGUUCGAAAGAUUCGAAAAGGGAAUACUUAAGAUUACUAUUACAUCGCAAAAAACCAAAAUACUUUAGCAUCGUUCAUAGGCCCUCGUACAACUUCCAAAAAUCCCGGUUAAGAACUCGAUCCGCUACUCGAUCCAUUCUGGUGGAGGAUAACUAAUAUUACUACCUGCAAUUAAAAGGCAUCUAUAUGAGUUAUAAAGCUCAGUAACAAAUUCGAUUAAAUAUCGAACUUUGAAAAUACGUUAUAUAAUAUAUAUAAUAUUAUAUAGUUAUCCUUACUCACAUUUCAAACACCAUAAGGCAAACGGUUAAUCACAUAAUUCAACACAUCAUUUACACAUAACCACUUAUGCAAAAUGACUAAAAUGUUCUUUUUAUGAAAAUCGUGAAAAACACAUUUUUCGUUUUAUCGGAUCCGCCAAAUAUUAAUUUUUGAACCUGAAUAAUAAACUUGUCACGAGCCCGUUUUCACUAGUGGAGUCAAACCACACAUUUCAUCCUAGUUGGAUACCGGCCCUCUAUAUCCGAGUUGUUUGAUAUCCGGCAUUCCAUUAAUCUUUCAAAUUUAAAAACCGUGAAAUGCAUGUUUUUCAAAAUCAUGCUUACAACAACUAUAUAAUCCACAUAUAACAUCAUAAAUAUCAAUCAAGUGCCAUAUAACCACACAAAUAUCACAACUUACCACAUAAUACAUAUUUAUAACUUAGGCAAAAAUUCCCCCAUUCACACAUAAACAAACACAGCCACACACGGCACACACACAUAUACACAUUCAGCACACACACAUAUAUGCAGCAUACACAUUAAUAUACCACCAUUUAAUACCCAAAUCAUGCUUGGAAAGCAAGGGUCAUCUUUAUCUUUCAUUUAAUGAACUUAUUACCAAUUCUAGGUAAUAAUUUCAUUCCAAAUAAAUUCUAGCAGCAAUUAAUACAUCCAUGCAGUAAAUUAAGGUACACAAUCCCAAGUUUUAUAACUCAUAAUUAUUUAUUCACAGACGUGGACAUUAAAGCACAAAACAUAAUAAAUGGCAUGCAUAAUUUCCUAAUUUCAAAAUAAUAGCAAACCACUUCCAAAAAUUCCCAAAUUAAAUCUUAGAGUUCUUAACUGACCUAAGUUUUAGUUUCUGAAAUUAUUUUAAAGGGACUAUUAGUGAGAACCCCCUCUAGUAUUUUUUUAAUAAGAGUGGAUCGAACCACUUUUUCAUUAUUAGUGAUAAAUCCAAAUAUUUCUUUAUUCCAAAUAUGCCCUCUUCACUGUUAACUUCCCAUUAAGACAUUUCCCACUAAUACGAUGAUGGAUUUUUUAUUUUUUCUAAUUAUUUCUCUUAUAUAAUUUUAAUUUCCAUUUUUAUUCAUUUAUUAAAAAAUGAAUAAUAAAUUAUUAUUUUAUUAACUAUUUGUUUUGUAAUUUUUAGUUUUCUCGUAUAUAUAUACACACACACACACACACACACACACACACACACAUAUAUAUAUAUAUAUAUAUAUAUAUAUAUAUAUAUAUAUAUAUAUAUAUAUAUAUAUAUAUAAUUUUAUUUUCAAAACCUUUUUUAAGCUCUUUUCCAAUAAUCAAAUACAAAAUUACUAAAUCUACUAGUUUUAUUGAAAUCAACUAUUUUUUUUUUUGCCAUAAUCAACUAUGAAAAAACUAUAAAACAACUAUUAAAAAUAGUUGUUUUCAAUAGCAAGUUUACCAAAAAUGAAACUACUACAAAUCAACUAUAAAAAUUUACAAUCAACUAUAAAAUUCUCGAAAUCAACUAUAAAAUUGUCGAAAAUCAACUAAUAAACUAUCAAAAACAACUACGUAAUCGAAAACAACUACAUUUUGAUUAAACCAACUACUUAAUCCAAAACAACUACGUAAUCGAAAACAACUAUAUUCAAGAAAAUGACUACAAAAUCGAGCGAAUAUAACAACAAAAACAUCUUCUUCCACAAUCCGCGAAUGGAGGGCGGCAAUUUAUGGCAGCAGAUGAAGAAUGAUGCCGCGUAUGAAAACACCAUAUACCCGAAUCCACGACGGAUGUGACGAUUAUGACUGCGGAUGAAAGACGAGGCCACGUCGGACACCGAUCGGGAACCCACCAUGUCUAAUUACACCAUUUCAAAUAUCCUCUCACGAUUCCAAAUUCAAAAUCAACAACAGUAAGCUUCAAGAAGAAAAAAAAAAAAAAAAAAAAAAAAAAACUAAAAUAAAAGAAACCCUCUAUCGUAACCACUUAUUUUUUAAUUCUUCUUGGAAGGAUGGUAAUUAAAAAUUAAUUUCCAAACCUAUGACUUCUGCCAUCAUUUUCUCUCCAUUCACUAUAAUUGACAGGAUCCGCCGUUGCUACAAUAAUCGGUAAAACCAUAGUCGUCAUCGAUGUAAACCCCAGCGGAAAAGUUGUGAUUUUCAUCGCUCACGCAAAAUCAGCAACAAAGGUCCAGAGGAGUGGGGCACUGAACGUGGAUCUAACUCUUCCCCUUCGACGUAACAUAGAUGUACUUCCACUAUGUGUCCUUCAACUCCGGCGAGAUACGAAGUCGGGACCGAGAUUUUGAGGAGCAAAAGAGUGGUAGAGGUUUAAUGGAGAGCGGAAGGAAAGAGAAGGAGAAUGGAUUCUUGGGCGGCUGAUGGGGAGGACGACGUGUCCAUAGAAUAAGUAGGGUUAACNNNNNNNNNNNNNNNNNNNNNNNNNNNNNNNNNNNNNNNNNNNNNNNNNNNNNNNNNNNNNNNNNNNNNNNNNNNNNNNNNNNNNNNNNNNNNNNNNNNNGGGGGCUUUCACUAAUAUGCUAAAUGAGAUUAAUAUUAUGGGACUAUUAGUGAGAACCCCCUCUAACAUUAUUUUAAUAAGGAUGGGUCCAGCUCAUUUUCCUUUAUUAGUGAGAAACCCAUUCUUUUUAUAUUCUCAAAUUUACUCUCCCACUAUUCACUACUUAUUAUCCACUAGUUUGAUAUUUUUUUAUUUUUUAUGUUUUAAUUUUAAUUUUCGUUUUUUUAUUUAUUUCUUCUUUAAAAAAUAAUAAUUUUUUUAAAAAAACUUUUUUUAUUUUUUUUAAUAUUUUUCUUUAAAUAUUUAUUUUCUAUAUUCUUUUAGUUUUCAGUUAAAACAACUAUAUGCCAAUAAAACGACUAUUAUUAAAACGACUAUUAUUAAAACGACUAUUAUUAAAACAAUUAGUAUUAAAACAAUAAUACAUAAGUUUCACAAUUUAUUAAAUAUAUUAUAUUAUUUCCAUUGUAAGAUUAACUAAUUAUUUAAUCAAAAAAUCUCCAAAACAACUAUUUGUUAAAAUCAACUAUUUAUUCAAACAAUAAUAUUGUUGUGCAAAAAUAACUAUGUUGCUAUACGAAAACAACUAUAUUUAAUCAACUACAAAUUAUUGAAAUCCACAAAAGCAAAAGCCAAAAAAUACACCAAAAUUCCAACAAAAACGACUAUUAUUGAAACCAACUACAACCGUAACGAAAACAACUAUAUCUUUUUGAGUAACACGAACACAAUUUCAACAAACCAGCCUCCCAAACAAUACCUCCUCCUCGAGGUCAAUCUAUUCCAUUACAGCGGUGGUGGAGGCGGUCUUCCGACGAGGAUUCCAGGAAUGCUUCCAAAAAUCGAAAGAAAAAAAAAACAACUAUAUUGUUGCAAAAGAUACCCAUCAACAACUAUACAAAAUAGUAGAAUAACGAAAACAACUAUACAAAAUAGUAGAAUAACGAAAACAACUAUAUUGCUGCAAAAGAUACCCAUCAACAAAAACAUCUCCGAUUUGUUUUUAAAAAUUAUGGUUGCGGUGGGGCAGAGCGAUGUUACCAGAUCCGACGAUGGAGACGAGGGUGGAGGUAGAGAGGAUUAACAAUUACAAAAAAAAACGAAGGGUCUCCCAUAGUCGAUUCCAACGCCUUUGAUGGCCACCGAAUAUAACGAAUAAAUCGAAUGUGCUAUGCAUAAAAUAAAAUAAUCCCGAUGUCCGCAACUAUUUCAUACAUAAAGACAAACACAAAACAAUUCUAUAAAAAUUCAAAUCAGAACACACAAUAAUAUCCAAAAUUUGUAAUAACAUCAACAAAUUGCUGAUUUUCUAUUUAAACAAACGCAAGACUCAAAUCAGAAAAUUAUUCAACAAAUAAGACAUGAUAGAAAUCGAAUCAUACUGCAAUUUGACAAUUGAAUCAAGACAACAACAUCAUAACAAUUAAUCUAAAAAAUCAAUCAGUUGCAAAAUAAAAAUGAGUAAAUAAUGAAGGAAUUUGACAGACAAACCUAAAUAAUCUCGUUUGCUUCGAUUCGGAUCUCGUCGUCACCUUUGUUACACCGCCAUGAAGGCUAAGAGGUCGUCGACGUCGGAUCGGAGUCAUGUGACGCUGGAAGUUGUUCCCAAAAAACGCCGGAGAAAUGGAUUGAAGAAGAAGCUUCGUCAUCUUCUUCAUAAUUGCCCUUAACCAUGGGAUUCGCACAUAAAAAGGCUAUUGGGAGAGAAGAAGAGGGAUGAAAAAAAAUAUAGAUCGUGAGGCGGUGGUGGGGAGAGGCUGCGUGGCUGAGGUGCAGAUCUGUGGCGAGGGAGAGAAAAAGAGAGAGAUGCGGCUGGUGAAGAAAAGUGAGGGGAAAAAUAGGGUUAAUGAUAUUUAAGGGUAAUAUAGAGAUAUCCCUAAAAUUUGAAUUUUUGGUAAAUUAAAAUAUAUAAUGAGGGGGGUUUUCACUAAUAUGGAAAAUGAUCUUAUAUCCAUCCUAAUAUAACUAAAUGUGUUUGGGGGUUUUCAAUAAUAAUCCCUAAUAUUAUAUCCAUCAUAAUACAGUAUACUCAAAUGUAUUGGGGGGUUUUCACUAAUCUUCCCUAUUUUAAAAUUGCAUCAAGUUUCAAAUUUUCCUUGGAAUUAAAAACUCGAAAAAUCCCUUUUUCCUUCUAAAAAUCCAAUACUCUAGUAUAACCUUAAUUAAAUUUGAAUCAUUCAUAAAGAAAACUUUCAUCUCAUUUAAUACUUGCUGGAAAAGAGAUUCCCAAAUUUAGAUGUGACUGAUUUUUUGGAAAUUACAGUUUUGACCCAAAAGUUUCAAGAUUUACACAUGCAACCAUACUAAAAGUUAAAAAUCCGAUUUUUCACGAAAAAAAUUCUACAAUCUGAAAUUUUAUUUUAAUAUAGUCAGAAAACAAAGUUAAAAAGUUACUUGAGGCAGAAAUUUCAAAAAUUACAUAUUUUACCCCAAAAUUUCUACAUCUAUACAUGCAAGACCACUAGAAGUUCAAAAAUCAAAUUUUCUUGCACAACCUUUUUAAAUCCGAUUUUUUUACUCAACAAAUGCUGAAAAACAAAUUUGAAAACAUAUUUAGGACAGACUUCUUGAAAAUUACAGAUUUAGCCCAAAAAUCUUUAGAUCUACACAUGCAACCCCAUAAAAGUUCAAAAAAUCAUUUUUCUUCCAACACCCUUUAGAAAUCCGAAAUUAUUUUUGCUUUUGGCCAAUAAAACUUGUAUCUACCCACUACCAACAUAAAUAAUGCAUGCAAGAACAAUAAAUUAACAAUCAACACAACUUUUCUUAAAAAAAUUCCAAGUCUAUUAAGAAAUUUUGAAAAGCCCUUUGAUACUAUUGACACCCUUUAAUUGCAGCAAGAGAUCGAUAUUUCUUACUUAUUAACCGAAGAAAAGAAAACAACCGAAGGAGAGUGCUUUAAAUACCAAAGUCUAGCCAAGCAACCUUGAUGGUGAAAGAGAGGGUGUGAGCUUCUAAGAGAGAUGUGUUGUUUUCUCUCGUGAGAAGACAAGAUGUUUUGAUGGUGUUUUUGGUGUACUCUAUAUUGGGUUAUUUUAAUAAAAAUAAUAUAUUUCAUUAUAAAAUAUAAUAAUGACUUUUACCACUUUUAUGAGGGUCAUUAAACGACUAUUUUGAAACCUUCAAAUUCAUUAUUCUCCUACAUAAAACACCAUAAAUUCUAAAUUAAAUUGAGGUUUUAUUGGGGUCAUGUUAUACAAGUUAUUUCUAUGCUACACCUGGUGAAGGUUACACCGGGUGAUUUUUUUACCGUUGAUCUAUACACACCAAUGUGGGCGUGUGUGUGUUUGUGUGUACAUGAAUGGUAAAGAUCUACCCGAUGUAUUUCACGCGGUGUAGCAUAGUAUAAACCUAUUAUACAUUAUAUUAUGGGGAUAUUGUGGUUCGCAAGUAGAUGGGAGAAGAGAAUAAAAACUAAAUUUCUAACGAUCCUAUAUAUAUUAUAUGUUUAGCACUUGUUGUGUGUCGGGUAUAAGUUUCUACUUCACUUGAACGUGCAAUUUCAGUGAAGUUACUGCAGAGAGAUAGGCUGGGUUGCUGUGUCCCAUAGGCGACACGAUCGGAAUCUUUUUGCAUCAUUAGAGAAGGAGUCAUGAAAUUCGUCUUACGAGAGCGACCUAGUCCGCGCCUAUCUUCAUAUUAUUAUAAUUUUUUUUGCAGCUAAUCGUCAACUAUGUAAAGAUGAAGCAAAUGGAGUAAGCCUCAAUCACAAGUUUUAUGAUCAAUCGUCAAACUGCAACCGUGGUUCCAACACUCUAAACCUAGAGUUCAGUAGGGAACUUUCAUUUUUUUAUUUUUGGAUUUCUUUGAAAAAUGGAGUUGAGGUGGAAGAAGAAAGCCGAUGGUGGAGAUGGAGGUGAAGACAAGUAACAGGAUUAUGUGGUAGAAGAAGGAGAAAGAAGAGUGUCUUUUGAAAUCUCUUGAGUGUGUGAUUAGUGAAAAUGAUUAGCAUUUGCCAAGUGGAAAGGCAUGCAAAUUAACAUUAAUUUUCUUUAAUAAAAAAAAAAAAAAAACAUGCAUACGCCAACACCACACACAUAUACACACGGUCACUCUCACACACACACAUAUUAACACACACACACACACACACAUAUAUAUAUAUAUAUAUAUAUAUAUAUAUAUAUAUAUAUAUAUAUAAUAUUACCUCACUAAGCAAGCCAUAUAUAUAUAAUGGUGCAUAUAUAUACACAUAUAUAUAUAUAUAUAUAUAUAUAUAUAUAUAUAUAUAUAUAUAUAUAUACACGUAUAGAAUGAGUAUGUAUGUGCAUGCAUGUAAUUAUGUAUGCAUGUAGUAUAUUUAUACAUGUAUGUACGUAUAUUAUUAUUAAUUAGUAAUUCAACUUACGGAACUAGAAAUGAUCCUAAAAUACUAGUUUACGUAAAUUAAUUCACAUAGUCAGAUAAAAACACAUAUAUAUCUGCUCGCCUAAUUUACAUAAUUAAUUCCACGUAAUAAUAUCAUCGAGGGAUUCUCGAGUUAAGAAGAUUGAUUUCUGGUUCUGCGGUUUUGGAAAGGUGGGGUGUUACAUCUUAGAGAGAAUAUAAGCACUAGAAUUGUUGUGUAUAAUGGAUGUUAUGUAUAAUGCAACGUACCUUAACAAAUUAGUAAAAACUUUAUUUAUAUGUCUUUGAUUAGGUUGGAUUUACUUUGUUGGGCUCAUGCCCCCUUUGAAGGUGUUUGGGCUUUCGUUGUAGUGGUCUUUUAAAUUGGGCUCGUGACCCAGUGGAUAAAUAAAUCGUGGCCCCACUAGAGCCGUCCAAUUCUGCUUAUCAUCCAUGACCAAUCAUUUUUAUUAUUCUAGGUUCAUGGGUUAUAUCUCUUUCGCCAACAAGUUCAUCCCUUUUAAUAUUUUAUAUAUAAAAGAAAGAAACGCUAGGGUAACACAGACACACAGUCAUAAUCCACGGCAUCUAUAUUUAUAGAAAUAAACUAAUUAAUGUAUAAAGGAAAAAGUAAUGUAUAUGACAAAAUUUAUCUCAAACCCUUUACACUCAAUUUUUAAGUGUAACCCCAAUUUAAUCAAUUUUGAUCAAGAAAUCAUGGGGCGGUGCCGUCACGCUCCUACCACCGGUGGCGGGUCUUUGCAGAAAUUGAAUAAUCAACGAUUCAAUUUCACGCUAUUUGGUUUGUCUUCAAUUUUAAUUUUUAAUCUCUUGUUCGUCUCCUACCAUGUUUACUCGCAAUUAUUUUUUUCGUUCUUUUUUUUUUGUGUAAUUUUUUCAAUUUUAUAGUUGAUUUAGAUAAUUUGUAGUUGAUUUGAUGAAUCUGAUGUCCACAAUUUUGUAGUUGUUUACGGUAACUUUAUAGUUGAUUAUGGAAAAUAAAAACAAAAAAAAAUUGAAAAAAAAAAAUUGUUGAUUUCAGAAAUUUUAUAGUUGAUUUUGAAAAAAAAAGACGGAAAAAAUUGAAAGAAAAUAUAUUUAAAAAAAUAUUUAAAACUAUUAAAAAAAUAAUUAUUUUUUAAUUGAAUAAUUAAUAAAACGAAAAAAAAAAGAAAAAGAAAAAGCAUCAAACACCUACUAGAAUAUUUACUCAUAUAUCUAAUACAUUUUAUCAUAAGCCGACACUAAUUUAUCCAUGAGCUAACAUUGGCAAGCAUACAAUGGAUGAACCCAAUAGGAAAAAUAGAGUGGUUAUUGUAUUUUCUAGCUUCCCACACUUGUACAUAACAUAGAAAUAUUAAUUGUAGCCUUCUAAACAUACAGUAGAAUAUAUUUAUUAGAACUUUUUAUUAAUGUUGUAGAAUAUUUUUGGAAAUUAAAUUGCAAAAUAUAAUUAUUUAUUUUAUAUUUGUUAUACUCAACCAAAAUUAAUAUAUAUAUAUAUAUUUUUAAUUUAAAGUAUUAUUUUAUUAAAAGACAUCUAAAUAACCUCAACUAUUCCACUAUUUUAAAAUUGGGUUAAGAAAUGUAUAGUUUUUUGAAUAUUUGAUAAGACUUUAGAAUAUAUUAUAACAUUAUUGUUAUCAUUUUUAAUGACAUAAAUUCAACGCUCUGAAUCUCUCUUUCUAAUAAAACUUUAGAACUAUAUUAAUUUUGCGGGUCUAACACUAAAACUUCUAUUUAUGCAUGAUAAGUGAAACUCCAUACUCAUGUGAAUUUUAUUAAAGUGCAUUUUUAUUAUUUACUAUUCUCCUCUCUCUCGCUCUCUUUUCGCUAUGUCGAAAAAUUUGGGCUUUCGAGCUUUGACAAAAGCAUUAAGAUCAGUUGGUAAAUUAUUUUAUAGUAUAAGAACAUGUUUUUGGUAUUAUUUUUUUCUUAAAAAAAAAGGAAAAGAAAGUAAAAAAGCCAACGAAUUAAUUAAUGAGUUCUUUAUUUAUUUUAUAUAUAUAUUUUUUUUGGGUUUCGAUAUUUGCCAAAUAUUCCAUUUUGGUAUUAAUUCUUUUCCAAAAAAAUAAAUUAAUUUUUUUUAAUAUAAAUAAGUUUUAUUUUAUUUUAUUUUAAUUCUUUUUGGGGUUACGAGCUCUGACAGAACCCCUUUUUGCUAUUAAUUUUUGUAAGAAAUUAAUAUAUAUAUAAAAGUUGUUUAUAUUUCUACUUAAUUAUUAUUUUUAUUUGAUGCGUUCUAGGUAGUAGCAGCAGCGGGAGUCGCACCCUUUCGGCUUCCUCUGAUCCGGUUCCGCCCGGGUCCGACCCGAAGCCGGCGGAUGAGGAGACUACACAGGAGGAGGAGGAGCCGACGACUGAUGAGGAGCCGACGACUGAGGAGGAGCCGACUGAGGAGGAUUCGUGCCCAGGUAAUCUCUUAAACGUAAUUCAGAUUGUUGACUAUUUAGGGUUUUUAUAAUUUAAAGGGCAUUUUUGCAUUUUUCAGAAAAUACUUGCUGCUAUUAAUUUUACUAUAUACCGAGAUGCAUGCUAGCUAAUUUGUUCGAUAGAAAAUUCUGUUUACCGAUAUUUUUAUUCAUUGAUUUUUUUCUUAAUUUUAAUUACUAAUAUUUUGAUUUUGUAGGCUAUUUUUCUUGCCCCGUGUGCAAUGAAACUUUCGAGAAUAAACAUAAUCUAGUGAACCAUGAAAUAAGCCGCCAUGGUGAGGAUGAGGAUGACGAUGAGGAGGAGGAGGAGAAGAAGAAGGAUGAUCAUUGAGGACGAGGGUGUAGACUUUUAUUUCAAUUUCUGAAAUUAUUUUAAUUUCUGAAACUGUUAGAUUAAUUUGAUAUAGUAGGUUGUUGUUAUUGUUAUUUCAAGUUAUUUGUAGACUUAUUUUAAGUCUUAAUUUUAUUUUAAUAGUUUUGUUGUAGACUCUUAUUUUAAGUCUUAAUUUUAUUUUAAUAGUUUUGUUUAUUAUUGUUAGAAUGGUAAGUUGGAGUAUAGAAUGGUAGAAAUAAUUGAAAAGAAUGUAAACAUGAAUGGGCUACUUAUAUUACUCCUCCUUUAUCCACCUAAGCUAGAGUCCAAGAUCCCUAAUUUACAUAGUUAGCAAAUGUGAUCAAUAUACCCUGCCUGACAUCACCAACAGAGAAACAAAUACAAAAGAAAAUUUAAAUUGGAAACCUGAAAUCCCAUCAUCCGAAAUGGAUAUUAAAUGUGUUUUUUUGAAAUUAAUUAUACGAGAUUCAUCAAGAAAAUCAAAAGUUCAAGGACAAAGCUUGUGUAUGUCUUGGAGUGUGUAAUAUAAUCUGACUGCGAGAACUAUGGGAGAAGGAAUAAGUGUCCGAGCGAAUCUGAAGUUCCUUCAAGAUUACGUCGUUUUCAGAAUCACCACUUGAUAAUUUCAUCGACCCUUAAGCCCUAAGGCACAGAAAUGGCGGGAAUCGAAUGGAUCGCGGCGGCCGGUGGCGGUGUUGUAAAUAGAGAGCAAUGGAACGGCGUCGUGACGUCAUUUUUCUGCGGGUUUCUAGUGAUCGGCCCAGCCCGAGUUCUGAACGCACUAACUACCGGGUCAUUAAUGCAGUGAUGGAACGGCGUUGUGACCGCCAUUUUUCUGCCCUACCAGCACCUCUCGCAGUAAAACUUCUUUAGGACAGCCUUCAUCAUUAGCAAUCUUGAAUUAACACUAUAAUCAAGCGACGGAAACGAAUCUAAAUUCAGAUUCGGAUCCGAAACAUGCCCCCGCCUCAAGUUCGGCCGAUUCGAAUAUCCGGUCGCCGUUGCCGUUUGAUAAUUUGCCCUCUGAUUUUGAACGCUCGCCCUUUGCGACUGACCUUGAAGUUCAUCAAGCUUCAUCUGAGGGUUCAAAUCAGCCCGAUCCGAAACAUGGCCCGGCCCCAAGUUUGGCCGAUCCGAAUAUCUGGUCGCCAUUGCCCUUUGAUAAUUCUCCCUCUGAGUUUGAAGGCUCGCCCUUCGCAACCGUUCAAUUCAUCAAGCUUCAUCCGAGCGUUUAAAUCAGCCAGCUGCGCUUGCAUAUUUUGGUGGGGAACCGGCGCAGGUUGAUUCCUCUGUAGCAUAGUCAGAUUCUCCGCCGCCGAAGUACUAUAGUACUAGAAGAGCACGUGUUUCCGGUCGACAAAUCGGCGAGCUCAGCGCCGUUCGACACCAUCUCCGGGCGAUUUCUCGACUUCCGAGACCUUUUCAAGAUGAUAAAAAAGGAAUGUUCCUUCAGGCUACAUACUACGCGGAAGUCGAUCCUUGGGGUAACCAGAAAUGCAGGGCGAUCCUCCGAGAUCGUCGAGUUACCGUCCUCAUCCAGCGGGACGACGAAUGUCAAAAUUUGACCCGGCGAGACCCCAAUUCUUUUCAUUAUCGUCAACUGAAAAGUCCUGAAUUCCAUGGCUGGAUGAAUUUUGAGACCUCCGAUCAUGUUCAGCUUCUCGCCGUCGUGGAAAACACCGGGAACACCGUCAUGCCGCCAUCCUCCAUGACGGCAUUGAAAGGAAGAUGGAGGGAAUUGGAAUCGUAGAUAUAUUUGUGUCGGAUGAAUUCCAGAUUCAGAUCUAGAUAUUGUUUUAAUGUUUUACAGAGAGUUGCAACAGUUAAUGAAACAGUAAUAAAAAAACACAAAGUGGUUCGGAUACAAUUGUACCCUACAUCCACGGGGACCUGCAAAUAAAAUUUACUAUUUUUUUAGUUUUACGAAUACAAUAAUAGGACUUAAUCAAAAUACAAAGACUCUCUCUUUGUUGACGCCGUUCUUGUAUACUACGCUGAAUUAUCAAUCUUCACUUUGCAGCACGUCCCUUGUUCCGCACGGUUGAAAUCCCUUCAACGCUGAAUCCCUCAGUCGGCGGAUCGACCUGCUCCCGAGAUCUUCUAAGCUCUCCUCCCGAAGAACCGAUCUUCUUUUCACGUGAAAGAAGCAAACCUUUGAAUAUAUUUCUCUUCUAAAAAAAGAUCAAAUAUCGGGAGCAACAACGUAAAAAGAGUAGAAAAUUAUUUUUCUCUCUCACAAAAAGGACAACGUUACAACACGCUGGUGCUCCUAUAUUUAUACUUCCUCGGUUGAAUAGAAGAGCGCUACAAAAGAUUAGAGCCUAGUAGGUUAGUUUCAAUCUUACGUAAGGAAAAUGAAUUGUGUGAUAACGAAAGUUUUUGUCAAGGAAAUUCCUUGUUAAUACAUGACUCACACAAUUAAAAUAAAUUAAUGACAAAAUAAGAGUUUAAAGCAUUAAGGAAACUUCCCUAACUUUAGACACACGUUUUUCACACGUGCUGAAAAAUAAAGUCAGAAUCCUCUCGGAUAAAUAUUUACAGAAAAAUAAAGUCAGAAUCCUCACGCAAUGUGCUUUAUUAACGUCGAAGUGGCGAAGUGGUUGCUUGAAAUAAAAACUAAACUAGCGGGAGAAAAGUUUUUCUUGGUGGGACUUUCCUAUGAGUAGGAUGGCGGGUUCUUUCGUAGGCUCCCCCUUCAAGCGUAGAAUUGCUUGAGAUUGGCUACGUUCCAGGUCCUUGGUACUUGAUGGCCGUCUGGAUGUUGUAGUCGAUAAGCUCCUGUGUGGACUAUUUCCCUGCGAGUGGAGGCUGGUUCCCGAACUUCUUCAAUCCAUUCAAGGCGGACUCUCAUGGCUAUUUCAUUUUUUAGGGGAGAGUAGUUGGUGAUUCUCCAAGAUGGUUCUCCUAUCUCGGCGGGAGCCACAACUUCUGCUCCGAAAGCUAAGUUGAAUGGGGACUCUUCCGUGGUGGUUCUUGGGGUUGUUCUAUACGCCCAUAGAACACUUGGUAGCUCGUGUACCCAUCUGCCCUUGGCAUUUCCUAGUCGAGUUUUGAGGUGCUGUAGUAUAGUGCGGUUGGUUACUUCAGCUUGGCCAUUGUGUAGCACCCGGUUUACUUUACACUCUAUACCGGAAAAUGGUAUUAAGAUUUUUCUAUUAAGUUGCAGCGGAAGACCUUUUAAAAAUACGGUUUUGUUUUUCGAGACAAAUUUCUAGAGAAAGGUGGUAAAGUUUUCUCUAGUUUUGAAAAUACUUGAAGUGUUUCGCUUCAAUUUUAGUUCGAUAAAAAUCUUUCUUCAAAAAAAUAAAACUUUGAAGUCGAACACUUCAUAAAUUUAGUCAAAAACAUUCUCUCCAUAUUCGGUGCCACAUUUUUCUUUAAAAAAUUUCUUGUUCCGAAUAAUGAAUUCGGGUUGUGGUGGAGAUCAUAAGAAAUCAACAUUAGAAAAUAACAAGAAUAGUCGGAAAACAUUAUGUUAUACAUAAGAGUUAAAAUCAUUUCCCGAUAACAUAUUCAAGUACUACGGAUUACAAUCCACUAAAAAGAUUUAAGUACCAAAGCGAAAGUUUAUUAAAAUCCACAUAAAUUCCAUACGGCUCGAUCCCUCGGCUUUCCCCGAACUUGGUUCAACUUGGCUCCUCGGAUUCGGGUCAUGAGUUACCUACACCAAGAUAACAUCUAUAUGAGCCUUUAAAAAGACUCAGUAAGAAUCUGGAAGUAAUAACAAGGUUUUGAAAAAGUCUUUACACAUAAUUUAUACACACACACACACACAUACACACACACACACAAACACACACACACACAUAUAUAUAUAUAUAUAUAUAUAUAUAUAUAUAUAUAUAUAUAUAUAUAUAUAUAUAUAUAGGCAUACACGAACACAUAAUAAACUUACGAUCAUUCAAACUUACACUAACUAUACCUUACCUUUACCUUUCCUUUAAACCUUUCAAAGAUACUUAACAUCCUUUCAUAUUCUUUCAAAAGUCAAGUACUUAACACCCUUCUUUUCUUUACUUUAAUAUGCAAAAUUCGGGGACUUAACACCCUUCUUUUCUUGAAUUUAAUAUGCAAUAUGCAUGAACAUGAGACUUUAGACUUUCAAAACUUUUCAUGAGAAAACAUUGGGCCCGUUUGGAAAAACAAUCGUGGAGUUCGCCAAUAAGCCGUGUAUUUUGGAGCUUGUGAUCUAUAACUUUACUAUAGUCACGGCUAUAACUUUCCUAUAGCCAAGUUAGUGGUUUAUAAUCAUGAUUCCUAUGUGAAUCAGUCCCUAUGUGGACAGGUCCCUAUGUGGACCCCAACUAUCAACCACUAACGGAAUACCAGCCCCCCGUAUCUCAUACUUAUUCACCUAGAUCCACAACCAAUUUCCAAAAUUUUAACUUUGAAAAAUCGUGAUUUAUGCAUCUUAGACUUACUAAUGAAUCACAUGAAGCUUACAUGAUCUAUCUAUGUUUACUUUCACAUAAACAAGCAUAAAAGUAAUACUUCACAUCUUUAAUCAAACCACUGAACACAUAAUCAUAUAGAACAUAGCACUUUUACUUUCACAUUUAAUUUCAUAAGUACACAUAAACAUUUAAUAUUACAUAGUAGCACCAAGAAGGGCAUUCUUCAACUUUAACUAUAUUAUAAUCACAUAAUCAUUUAACCAUGUCAUUCAUAGCACAUCAAUAUCACUGAUAUCAUGAAUUAUGAAAAUUAUCACAUACGGCAUUAGUUCACUCUAAUCACUUAAUACAUACACCUUUACUUCAAAAGUGUCACAUAUCAUAAUAUAUGAAAACAAUCAAGUAUUCUAACUUAUCAUAGAUAUUUUUUAAUCAUUUUCCUAAAUCUUGCACUUGAUUCAUAACACCGUUCUAGGCUAGUAGACUAUAAUUCUUUCUUAGGACAUGCAACAUGAUACAUAAACUUAGAUUAUUAGGACAUAACUUGGAUUUUUCACCUUCAUUACUAACCUAUCUUUCAUACCUCGGAUAUUAGAACAAUGAUCACAAAUCAUACUUUGAUAAAAAUACUCAUCUUAAGAAAAUCAAACAGGUUUGGUAUCCUAACUUUGAAAUAUCAUUUCUCUUGAACCAAAAAUCAAUGCCUUUGAAUUUUUUUGCAACCUAAUCAUUUAUAUGUCUUUAAAACCACUAAGAAACAGUUUAUAAAAAUGAUCAUCCGAAUAAAAGAUAUAAAUAAAUUUCUAAGGGGGUACAGUUUUGAAAUCUGAACUGAUGGAGUGACUUUAAAAAUUUAUUUUGCUUUACAGAUUAAUCCAGAACUUUUGAAAGUUUAACUCCAUAUACUAUUAGGAGUCUUAUAUACCCCAGAAAAACAAUUUUAGAAAAUCCUUAGGAAAUUAGGAUAAAUAAGUAAAAUAGUAUAGUAGUGCAGUUUAAAACUCAGAACAAGGGAGGGGUCUUCAAACAUUUCCUAUAAAUGAUUUACUGUAUCAAACACUGCCAAAUAUUAUCUCAAAUGAGUUCUCUAAGUAGGGGUUCUGUUCCAAGUAGAAUCACUUAAUUUUAAAUAGAAAAACAUUAGAUUUCAUUACUUAUUCUAAACUGACUCUGGUUUUGUACAGUUUCUUAAAUAAAUCAUGACUUAUUUAUUUCAAAUGAAAACAUUACACGCCAUAUAUCAAUAUGACCAUAAUAGAGGGAUCUAUCCUCAUAUAAAAUAUCGUAGUUUUCAUAAAUAACAAUGUGGGUGAAACAUGGGUUAAACCCCGUACCUAUGAAUCUGUAAAUUUUACAUAUAACCAUCUAUUUCAAGAUUCUAGACUCAAUAAGCUUACAUACCUCAAAUCCAAACCUUAAACAUAUAAUCAUAAUAAGUACAUCUUAACAUGCAAUCAUUAUAAACAUCAAGAUAAUUAAUUUCAUAGCAUAUAAUCAUCAAAUUUUCGGUUUCCUCACCAAUUUUCUAUUUUCUUUCAAGAAUCAAGAAUCAAGAGUUAGAUUCUCACAUGCAACGCUUUAAACAUAAAAUUAAACAUAUCAAUCAUCGUCAUCAUUUUUCUCAUCAAAGAUCAAGGGUUCAAGCAUGGAUCUUAACAUACAUGAGACUAAACAUAUAAUAUAACAUACUAUGAGCACUUUCUUUCAUAAAACUUUCGAUUACUUCAAACAAUCAUGAAGGGGAUUUUUUCAAAAGACAAGAGAAGGAAAUACUAUAGAUGUUAUCUAGAUGUAGCAAUAAGUCCAUGAUUCUUACCUUAGGGUCUUUGAGAAUUUGAAGGGCUUUGUAUAUACUUGAAACUCUACUUCUUUUUGAAGAACGUCUUUUAUUGAAAUGAAAAGAGUUCUUGAGCUUUAACACACUACAAAUUCCGAAACUAAGGAAGAAGAGAGGAAGAAAUUUUGAUCUUGAACUUUUGGAUGAGUAGAAGAAAAUAUGAAAGGAUGAGUAAACACUUGAAGCUUGGGUUCUAUUUAUAGAAUUGGAGAGGCUUCUAUUCUUAAUGAGUAAGUAUGAAGAGGGGUGUUUUUGCAAUUAGGAGAAACUUGAAAUAAUCUAGAGGGACUUCUUGGAAAUUUCAUUUGAGUUAUCUUAAAAUAAAAUGCUAAAUGAAAAGCCAAGUGGAAAUGCACAUGGAAUAAGUGUAUGCAUGCAACACAUACAAUCAUAGCCAAUUUGACGAGAGGAAAUUACUAUCAAUUAAACAUAUAAACUUUCUAGUGUGAGAAAAUAAAUUCUUAUGUUAUGAAAACUAAAUCAACGUAGAUCACAUAAUUUCACGUGUUCAAUUAUAUUAAACACAUGAAAUACAUUUUAGUUGCACAAAUAGAGAAUAAAAUCAAAAAUAUUCAUGUAGACAUAUAAUGCACAUUAGUUCACAUAAUUUCACAUAAAUAGCAAAUAAAGCAAAUUGAAUAGAAAUUAAUUAAAUUUGCACGUACAACACAUAUUCUUGCAAAGGAGAUGAGAGGGAAAAUACGGAAACCGGGUAUUAGAAACGCGAGGUGUUACUUGGCUUGGGGAUUAGCCACGAAUGUAAAUAAAUGUUUAAUUGAUAGAUUUUGACACCAUCCCCAAACUUUCUCCCCGCAGAAUCGGAUGCCACUAUCGGAGAUUAGGGCUCUGGGUAUUCCGAACUGACACACCACAUUUUUCCAUAGGAACUUGAUUACAUCUUCUUCCCUGAUUCGCGCUAAUGGCUCUGCCUCGACCCACUUGGUGAAAUAAUCGACGGUCACUAUCAGAUGUUUCCUUUGGCCCGUGGCUUGUGGGAAAGUUCCAACCAGAUCCCUACCCCAUUGGGCGAACGGGAUCAGACAGUCUACUGGCUGCAUCAGUGCCCCCGGUUGGUGUUGAAUGUUGGCAUGUUCUUGACAUGCUCUACAACGCUUGACUAGAUUCCUUGCAUCGUUUUGCAUGGUAGGCCAGUAGUAACCUUGUCUUAGAGCUUUGAGAGCUAGGGAUCGGCCACUCUAGUGGUUGCCGCAAAUUCCUUCAUGAAUCUCUCGAAGGGCGGGGUCGGCCUUGGUUGGGGGAAGGCACUUCAAGUAUGGAAGUGAGAAGCCACGUUUAUAUAAUUGACCAUCGAUGUUUAUAAAGCAUGAGGCCCUUGUUCUCAAAUUUUGAGCCUCAUUCGGCUUGUGGGGGAGGGCCCCAAAUUCUAAGUAUUGCGUUAUAGGGUCGAUCCAGCUGGGCUCUUCCUCAUUGCAUUGCACUUGGCCUUUAUCCUCUUCUAUCUCUGGUUAAGGCAAGGUCAGGAUGGUGAUUCUUCUACAGCCGAUGAUGGUCAUGGAACUUGCUAACUUGGUGAGCUUGUCGGCCAGCACAUUGCUAGCUCGUGGUACUUGUUUAACUUCAUAGAUUUCUACCUUUGAUAAUAGCACAAUGGUAAUGGCCAGGUACUCAGACAUUGUUUCCUCCUUAGCCUCGUAGGUGCCCAGUACCUGGUUAACGAGCUUCUGCUGAUGUAGCUAGCUUGAUUUUAGCUAUGAGGGCUUCGUACUCAGCCUUGUUGUUCGAGAUUGGGAAUCGAACCUCAGGGCGUACUCGAGUUCGUCGCCUUGGGGUGUAACUAUAACAAUUCCGGCUCCCCCGCCAGAACUGGUGGCUGAUCCAUCUACAUUGAUAGUCCAUGUUAGCAGUGCACUUCUGGAAUCGUAGCCCGUCAUUUCCACUAGGAAGACCGCUAGAUUCUGGGCUUUGGUGGCAGAUCGACUGCAAAACUCGACUCCAUAUUCACUCAGCUCAAUGGCCCAUUUCGCCAGCCUUCCCGAUGUUUCUAGGCUCCGAGGGACUUGUUUCAGGGGGUAGUUGGUGAGUACUACUAUUUCAUGAAACUGAAAAUAUGGUUUUAAUUUUCGUGCGGCGGUGAUUAGGGCUACAGUGAGUUUUUCCAUCUUCGAGUGGCGUUGCUCUUCUCCUUGAAGGGCGCGAACUACGUAAUAGAUGUGUUGGUGACCUCUUUCCCCUUCUCGAACUAUGACUGCUCUAAUGGCUUCGUGUGAGACUGCUAAGUAGAGCAGUAGGACAUCCCCUGGAGAAGGCUUUGUGAGUAGAGGGGGCGAGGCGAGGUAACGUUUUAGCUCUUCCAAAACAUGUUGACAGUCCUUAGUCCAUUUGAACUUUUUGCCUCCCCUCAGUACUUUAAAGAAUAAGAGUCCCUUAUAUGCCAACCUGGAUAUGAAAUGGUUCAGGGUAGCGAGGCAUCCGUUAAGUUGUUGAAUUUGUUUGAUGGACCGCAGGGGAGUCAUAGAAGUCAUUGCUUCUAUUUUUCACCGGGUUGGCUUCUAUUCCUCUUUGUGAAAUCAUGUAACCGAGGAAUUUAACUCAUCUAACUCCAAACGAACAUUUGAGUGGGUUGAGCUUCAGCCUAUAUUUUCUCAAGAUGGCGAAGCACUGUUGUAGGUCUGCAAUGUGCCCCAAUGUUCGCGUGCUUUUGACGAGCAUGUCGUCAAUAUACACUUCCAUGUUUUUCCUUAUCAUGUCCGCGAACAUUUCAUUCACCAAGCGUUGGUAAGUGGCUCCGGCGUUCUUCAAUCCAAAGGGAAUCACCUGAUAACCGUAGAUUCCUUGAUUAGUGACGAAACUGGCCUUCUCGUGGUCUUCGGGGACUAACUUGAUUUGAUUGUAGCCCUGGUACGCGUCGAGAAAACUAAGGAUCUCGCACCCCGAAGUGGAGUCCACCAGGUGAUCAACCCUUGGUAGAGGGAAAGGGCCCCUAGGGCAUGCUUUGUUUAAAUUGGUGAAGUCUACGCACAACCUCCACUUUCGUCCAGACUUGGAGACCAACGCUCCGUUAGAGAGCCAUUCUGGAUAUUGGACUGGGCGGAUGUGCCCCGCGGCCAAGAGCUUAUCCACCUCUUUUUUGAUGUGUUUAUUUCUCUCUAGACCGAAGGACUGUUUUCGUUGCUCUAUCGGCUUUGCUCUAGGAUGGACGUUCAGUUGGUGGAGUGCCACUUCAGGUGGGAUGCCCAUGAGGUCUUCAGCCUUCCAUGCGAAGAUAUCGGAGUUUUGAGGGAGGUAUUCUACGAGCUGCUCUUCGGUGUCAGGGUCUAGGUCCGUCCCAAUUCGAACUGACCUAGCUUUAUCUCCCCGGAUUAAUUCCACUGCUUUUAAUUCUUCAACGGCAUCCAACUUUGCUCCAUCGUCGGGCAUGCGUAUUAGGAUAUUGGACUCUUCAUUGCGGAUUACUGUUGGGGAUCGGGCACGUGUAUACAACAGAAAAAAAAUGUUAUUUUAUUAUAUAUAAACCAAUUUAUAUAAACAAACAUGUGCACAAUAAUUACAAUUAAUUGAGUACCUUUUCGCUUCCAAUCACCGACAAACAUGCUCGCAUAUAUAAUUAAAUCAUCAUAGCAUGCUCGCGAAAUUAAAUCAAAUAAUAAACAUGCUCAACAAACGAUUCACAGAAAUACAUAAUCGAACAUAUAGAUCCAUGUGAUUCCAUAAUCAAUUAACAUACAUUAAUCUCAAUUAAUAAAAAUUCUCAAUUAACAUACAUAAUCGAACAUAAUAUUUAUGUAUAUGAAUUAACUUAUCAAUGAACUCUAGAUUGAUAGAGUUCAAUGAACUCAUCAACUUAUGAGCACCCAUUUAUGUAUGCUGAUAUCACAACACCGUUGACUAAUGAGACGCAGUACACAUACACUAAGUGCUAGUCUCAAAUGGGAAAGGCCGAUAUCCUCAUUAGUGGCGUAACCCAUUGACUAGGAACUACGUUUAACAGUUACUAUACUUCAUGAUCUCAUGAUUAUACUUGAUCUAUUUAUAUUAAUUAACUAACUGUAAGGACUAUAUAUAUGCUUAUGCAAUGGACAAAGAUAUAGAAUGCCAAAGGGGUUUUUUAUCUUCUUCACCAAGAAGUUGGAAACUGACGCCGUGAUGGCUAAUGCGUCAUUAUUUUCAUCUCGGGGACCCUGGAGGUCUUUCUGGAUAAAAGUAAUAUCGUGCUCCGUCUGUUGCACCAUGCAAACCUGUGCGGUGGCGGUGUCUGGGGUAGUAGCUGGGGAGAGUACACGGCGCGCCCUGUGGGUGUCCCCACUUGAAGGGCCGCUGGAGAUCAUGGCAAUGACGCCACGCGUAGGUAAGUUAUCCUCGUUGUCUCUAUCCUUUUUACGCCCCCCCCCCCCCCCCCCCUUGGGUGGUGGUCAUUUCCACGAUUAUCGUUUCGUGGAUUGUCUCAUUUGUUCCUCCUCUGCGUACUGUCUAAAAACUCUCCUAGAUUUCUUUGCUUGAUUAAUUUCUCGAUGGCCACCUGGAGUUGGAAACAUUCCUCUGUGGUGUGCCCCUUGUCUUUGUGGAACCGAUAGUACUUCUCGAAUUUCAUCCUUUUGGGGUUGUGAUUCAUAGGGCGUGGGGGUUCCACCAAUGCAUUUCCUUCCGCCACUAGAAGCACCUAGAGAAGGUGGGUGUUUAAGGGGGUGAAUCGGGGGUAAUUCGCAGCUGGGGUUGUGUGCUUAUCUUCUCUCCUUUUGUUAUCGAGCCGGUCGUCCUCCCUCUUUCUUUUGUGCAUUCCAAGUCCGGAUGUUUCCUCGAUGCGUACAUACUUUUUGGCAUGCUUCAACAUUUCCUCCAGCCUGGCAGGUGGUCUACGAGCUAUCAAUUCGUUGAACAUGGAGUGCCUUAGGUUCUGCUAGAUAUGCCCGUCGCUACCUCGUUGCCAGUGUUUGGUACUUCAUGGACUGUUUGUACGAAACUUUGAACAUAGCGACGUAUCGACUCUCAUUGUUUCUGGACAAUGGAGAGUAAAUGGGCUGUGGUUUUUGCGUACUUUUUAUUGAUGGCAAACUGGUUGAGAAAGCGAUCGGUGAGUUGUCAGAAAGGAAGACUUGACUAUCAAACCCGUAAAACCAAAACACGUGAACUAAGUCGGGGGAUGAUCCGGCGGAAACCCCUCCGACACUCAAGUUAGAUGCUAACACAGGAGAUAGGGUAGAGAGCACCACAGCAAGAGGAUUCGAGAGAAUUGUUAGAACGUACAUUUUUCCUCAGAUUGAGGUGUUAUUUAUACUUAGUUAAUAGUAGAAAUCUAAUUAGAGUACUAAUCUAGUAUUUUUCUAGAUUAGAACUCUGAUUGGGUGUUUUAUUAAUACCAUAUGUAGUGGCCCAUAGAGGCUCUUAGGAGAAUGGCUCGACUCUUUUAUCUGGUGCGCUCCGGGCCCAAUAUUUCGACCCACAUGGUUACAUAAUGUAAAUGGCCCAAUGUGGCCCAUUUAGGUGUAUCAUACUAAUUUAUAUAACAUAAUCAUAAUAGAAUCCUAAUAUUAAAAGAGUUCCAUAAUAUAAUAUACUCUAACAUGUUUAUCUUCUAUAUAGUUUAAUUAUGUGAUGGUUUAGUGAAUUUUUUUCUUGAAGCUAGAUUCAUUAUGUGAUGGUUUAGUGAAUUUUUUUGUUGAAGCUAGAGAAAAUAUAGAUAGACCAAUUCAGUGCACGUACACAAAUCAUUAUUGAUGUAAUUUUUAUUUUUUUUAUAAGAAUUAACAUGUAUCUAUUAAUCAUGGUGGGACUUCUAUUAACAUGUUUACCAUCUUCUCGAAAGUAUUCGUGCUAAUUUCCCAAGCUUCUUAACAUGGAAACAUGGGUUGGCACUAGCCUACUUAUCAUUUUGUCUUGUGUAGUUGAACUCGCGCAGUUAGUACAAUAGUAGUGGUGGGCUGAUGGCUCUUUCGAGCUUUAGUUUGUGAUGUUAGAAAUGUGUGGUGUUAAAAUCAAGAUUCUAAAGAGCGGUUAUCGGGUCCGAGGCAGUUAGGGAGCGCCACACGAUAAAUUGGUGCGACGGUAAUUAUUCGGAGAUAAAUUGAAAAUAAAUCGCUUUUUUGAUUUAGUGUAACAUAUUUUUAAAUAUUAUUUGUAACUACUUAAAAUAUAUAUUAAAAAAGAUUUGAACAUGGUUUUGGUUAAAAGAAAUUCGAAAAAAAUAAAAAAGGAAAACGCCUAUUGUAUUAUCCUUUUAAUUAAAAAAAAAAACUAAUAUUUAUUACUGAUUAAUUGAACCGAUAUAUCUGUUUGACCCACCUCAAACCAACACAAAGCGCCGUAAACUGCCUCACCGUCCAAAAAUCGAUAUUUCAAACUGCCUCAUCAUUAUUGUAAAGGUUUACAACCGCCACCAUCGGCCGCCAAGACCGAUACUAUUAUUUCAAAAUUUAAUGGCUUAUCUGUUAUAUAUGAUGUUCUUGUGAUUUAAUUGUUACUUCUUGGCACGGUGUGCUAUAAUGAUGAAUCACGGGAUUAUACACUUUAAUUUACACCAGGAACAUGUUUAAUAUGUUGUUGGAAUUUAUUGAGGUGAGUUAAAUGUCUAAAAGUGACAAGAAACUCAUUAAAAGUUUGAAAAGAAGUUACUUUGCUUUACACGCAUGAUUAAUAUAUGUGUUGAUGAUGAUGGUUUCAUGGUAUGUAUGUGUGUAUGGUGUGUAAAGGUGCGUGCACCGCAUAUGUGCAGUGUGUGUGAUUGAGAUACAUGAAUGGUUAUUUAAUUAGUCUAUAUAAUGAUAGGUGAAUUAUAGAUGCUUAUGUAGUUAUGUGAUAAUUGUGAUGUUUAAGUGUUAAUUGCACGCGGUGUGCAUUUAGGAAGUCUAGCAUUCAUGUACUUCACGAGCUUUUGAAAGUUUGAAAAAUUAACAAAAUGCUUGGCUGAAUAAACAAUGGAUACGGUGGGCCGGUAUCUAACUAGGUUAAGAAGGGUGGGUUGAGUCCACCAAGAACGGGCUCGUAACGUUUUAUUGUCCGAGUAUGGAAAUUAAUAUUUCACGUAUCCGAUAAAACGAAAAAGUUUUUUUACACAAUUUGCAUGCAAGGGCAUUUUAGUAAUUCUGCAUAACGAUGUGUUUUACGUGAAAAUAAUGUGGUUUGUGAUUUGUGAUUUGUGUGCUUAUUCGAAUAUUGAGUUGUGCUUGGAUGAUGAAUGAAGGUGAUGAAAGUGACGUAUAAUAUAUAUAUAUAUAUAUAUAUAUAUAUAUAUAUAUAUAUAUAUAUAUAUAUAUAUAUAUAUAUAUUAAAUAUAACCUAUUUCUAAUGUUCGAUAACUACUUGAAUUUCUUACUGGGAUUUAUAGCUCAUAUAUAUAACUUUUGAUUGUAGGUAAUAGUAGCAGCAAUCCUCCGUAGGAAUGGAUCGAGUAGCCUGUCAAGGUCUUGCCCGGGUUUCUUUGGAAGUUCGUACGGGGGGUUCUAUAAACGAUGCAUAAUUAUAUACAUUUUGGUGAUGUAUAAUUAUAAAGACAAUUUCCUUCUUGUGUAUUUUGGUUACCUCUUUGGGUACGGAUCUUAUUUUGAACCUUAUUCUAGAUCCGUUUAUAAAUAAUAAUAAUAUAGCUAGUUUUAUUUAUAUCUUUAAUUCUCACCAAAAAUAUUUCUAAAACUCCGAUUUCUAGUUCGAACUGAUAAUAAAAAGAUUUUGAAUAGUGUAGCACUCGAAUAAAUUCCUUCUUUAAAAAGUUAUUUCAAAACAAGAAUUUAAACCGACUAGAAUCCUUCAAGACAAGUUUUUCGAAAAUGAUAAUGAUUUUGCACUUAAAAAUAUGGAUUUUAAAUGGCAACAGUUUCGCUAAGUUUUAAAUUCACUACGAAAUCCAAAAUGCUUCCUCUAAAUAAGUGUAAUUCCGAUAAACCGAUUCGACUUAUCGCCUAUAUGAGUGGGGGUGCUACAGGGUGGUAUCAGAGCAUGGUUUAUAGAAACUCGUAUGAACUUCACGGGCUUAAAGACUAUUCGAGACGUGAAACUCGACCCAUUCGGAAAUUAUGUGAAUUUAAUACCUUAUGUGUUUAUGUGCUUUACUAAUUAAUUGCAAAUUAAUAUAGAAGUAAUGGCAAGACGUAUAACCCAAGACGAUCAAAGCGCUUCUACCAAUGAACCCCAAGACCACAACCAAACCAUUCUUAAAGUUUCGAACCUUAUCCGAUAACAAGCCCAAAACCACCAACGUCAAAUCGAAUAACUUCUCCAACGUAACUAACCUCAAAUUAACGCGCCUCAAGCUAUAUACGAACGAUUCCUUAGAAUGAAUCCCACUGAAUUCCAUGGUGGUAUCGAUCCAGCCGUAGCCGAAUAAUGGAUCAAGUCUCUCGAAGUAAUUUACGGCUAUAUGCAAAUGACCGACUGUGAUCGAGUGCAUUGCGCCAUAUUCCUAUUCCGGAACGAGGCCCGUCAUUGGUGGGAAGGAAUCAAAGAAGGGACAAAUCUCGAAAAUCUUCAAUGGUCCGAAUUCAAAGUCCAAUUCUUCGAAAAAUAUUUCUCGAAAGAUUUACGAGCUCACAAACUCAAAGAAUUCCUCGAACUCCCUCAAGGAGACUUACCAAUGAUCGAAUACAUCCGUCGUUUCGAACAUGGCUGCCUUUAGGCCCCAUUCAUUGCUCGAGACACCGAGGAAAAGAAGAAUCAUUUCAUCCGUGGUUUACAACCCGAGAUCCGUAGAGAUAUCUGUAUGUCCGACGCUUCAACUUUUUGACAAUUAGUGGACAAGGCCCUUAUGGCUGCCCAAAACGAGCAAGUCAAUUAAUCAGUUAAAUUGUUGUCUCCGACAGUUAAAUAACUGUUGGAGACAGUAAUUUAGCAGCCAAGACAGUAAUAUUAAUUAAAAUAUUUUUUUUAAGAAAAGAAAGUCAAUUUACAGUUAAAUUACUGUCUCUGACAGUUAAAUAAUCGCUGUAGACAGUAAUUUAGCAGCCAAGACAGUUAUAUUAAUUAAAAAAAAAUUAAGAAAAAAAAGUUAAUUAACAGUUAAAUUGCUGUCUCCGAUAGUUAAAUAACUGCUGGAGACAGUAAUUUAGCAGCCAAGACAGUAAUAUUAAUCAAAAUAUAUUUUUUAAGAAAAAACAAAAUUAUAAAAAAAAAUUAACGCCGGAGACCGGCGGACAAUGGCGGCUGAGCGUCGGUCUCCGGUGGUGGCGGGUCAAAAUUGUGGUCAAAAUUGAAAUUAUGGUUAAAAUUGGUUAAUUGGUGAAAUUUGGCUAAAUUGGGGUGUAAAUCAUGAAAUUGGAGUUGAAUUGAGUUUCAAUGAAUUGAGUAAUUUUGGUAUAUAUAAAAUGAUUUUCCUUAUUUACAAAUAAGUUUGAAUGAGCUGGAUUCAUUUGAAAAACAAGUUAGAUGUUCCUCUUUUAAUUAAGUGCCUUUGUCAUGGGCCUAUUUGCCAUUGCAUAUAUAUAUAUAUAUAUAUAUAUAUAUAUAUAUAUAUAUAUAUAUAUAUAUAUAUAUAUAUAUAUAUAUAUAUAUAUAUAUAUAUAUAUAUAUAUAUAUAUAUAUAUAUAUAUAUAUAUAUAUAUAUAUAUAUAUAUAUAUAUAUAUAUAUAUAUAUACACCGGAGACCGGCGGACACUCUCUCUCUAUAUAUAUAUAUAUAUAUAUAUAUAUAUAUAUAAAUAAAUAUAUAUACAAAAAUGUUUAAUUGGAGAAAUAUGUCUAAAUAGGGGUGUAUAUCUAAAAAUAGGAGUAUAUAUAUGUCUCUAUAUAUAUACAUAUAAUUAAUAUAUAUAGAUCUCUCUAUAUAUAUCUCUCUCUCUCUCUCUAUAUAUAUAUAUAUAUAUAUAUAUAU